rnacentral:tRNA from 1 species
GGUCUCGUAGCUCAGCUGGCAGAGCGCAUGCUAUGCAAAAGCGUGGUGGCAACCACGCGUGCGUUCGAGUCCCACUGGGGUCA